rnacentral:rRNA from 1 species
CAGCUAGUUGGCGGGGUAAAGGCCCACCAAGGCGACGAUCCGUAGCUGGUCUGAGAGGAUGAUCAGCCACACUGGGACUGAGACACGGCCCAGACUCCUACGGGAGGCAGCAGUGGGGAAUAUUGGACAAUGGGGGCAACCCUGAUCCAGCAAUGCCGCGUGUGUGAAGAAGGCCUUCGGGUUGUAAAGCACUUUUAUCCGGAACGAAACGCGCAGGGUGAAUAUCCUUGCGAACUGACGGUACCGGAGGAAUAAGCACCGGCUAACUUCGUGCCAGCAGCCGCGGUAAUACGAAGGGUGCAAGCGUUACUCGGAAUUACUGGGCGUAAAGGGUGCGUAGGUGGUUGUUUAAGUCUGUUGUGAAAGCCCCGGGCUCAACCUGGGAAUGGCAAUGGAUACUGGACAGCUAAAGUGCGGUAGAGGGUAGUGGAAUUCCCGGUG